GUAUUUGGCAGAUGGGAGGAGAAAGAGUUUAAUUUUUUUUUUUUUUCUUUUUACAAUUUUCAAAGUUAUCCCAGAAUAGGAAAGAAAACUUUGUUAGUAGUACAGUAUUAUCUUACAGCAAGCAACUUGCUGACAGUCCGGUGCACCGACAGCUGUUGCAAUGCACGGUGUUCAAGAAAGGCCCCAUAAAGGUGUAUGUAUGCGGCCGCAUUUCUGCUGGAGGCUAUUUCCAAGUAUUUCACCCUUGAGGUCAUUCAAAAAACCUUUGGCUGUUUCCAUAUAGUAGUAAAAUUUUGUGCUUACUGCGUAUGCACAAGCUGUAUAGUUCAUUCAGAAGCUAUUCAUGACCCUGUCUCUCCCCACUUCUCCUUCUCGGGUUGACUUAUAACAAUAUGAUAAAUAUGUGAGAAUUUACUUUAAAUUUAUACUAUAAAGGGUUACCUUUUGUUUAUUCAUGUGUUAGGUUCUUGAUCCCAGAUCCCGAAGUGGCUAGUUGUCCACUGCAUUCACAUGGUUUUCUUGUAUUUGGGUUACUAAAGAAAGUUUUUGAAAAUUCUAUUUCUGAGUGUUGAAAUCCUUUGUUGCUAGUUGGACAUAUUUCUUGGUUAAAAAUCUUUUCUUCAACUGAAAAUUUGUGUGAAUUGCCUCUUGGUUGCUUUGCUGUGCUCCGGUUUUGAAUAUUGGAAGGUUGUUGUCUCUGCGGCAGAUUAAAUCGAGAAGAUUUGAAUAGGAAGGAGAAGGUUGUUUAGGAUAUAUAUAUAUAUAUAUAUAUAUAUCAUGUUCGCUAUCCAGAAAUGGAGGUGUUCAUGGUCCACUGUGGCAAAAGUUGCUUCAAUUGUGACAUUAGUUUCAGUUGUUCAUUUAUUCCUCUACCCCGUCGUGCCUUCCUUGGAUUACUUUAGGAAGUUUCAGAACUUUUGUGUCCCUAUGUCUAUGAAUACAUCCAAUUCCAAUGACAAGUCAACUGAAGGUAUCCAGAAGAAUCCAACAGGCAUUAUAUCAACUGAAGGAAGUCAAAGCAAUCUUGGUAGAAGCCCCAUGCCAAUGAUUGAUCUGAAUGUCAGAUUUCCUCUUGAUUUACACAAUGCUGUUGUAUAUCGUGGUGCUCCAUGGAAGGCUGAGGUUGGCCGGUGGUUAGCUGGUUGCGAUUCAAAUACUUCUGCUGUUAAAGUUGUUGAGCAAAUUGGUGGCAAGAGCUGCAGGAAUAAUUGCAGCGGUCAAGGCAUUUGCAAUCGCGAAUUGGGUCAAUGCCGCUGCUUUCAUGGUUUCACUGGUGAAGAAUGUGCCGAGAGGCAGGAGUUGAGCUGCAACUACCCUGGAUCAAAGGAGCAACCUUUUGGGAACUGGGUUGUCUCAGUUUGUCCUGCUUAUUGUGACACAACAAGAGCAAUGUGCUUUUGUGGGGAAGGCACAAAAUACCCAAAUCGUCCUGUUGCUGAGGCAUGUGGUUUUACAAUCAAUCCUCCAUCUGAACCUGGUGGUGCUCCUAUGACUGACUUCACAAAAGCUGAUCUCGACGUCUUUACUAUAAAUGGUAGCAGACGAGGAUGGUGUAAUGUGGAUCCGGUAGAAGCAUAUGCUUCCAAGGUGCUUUUCAAGGAGGAGUGUGAUUGCAAGUAUGACGGUCUUUGGGGUCGAUUCUGUGAGGUGUCUGUGCUAAGCACUUGUAUAAAUCAAUGCUCGGGCCACGGGUUCUGCCGCGGUGGAUUUUGUCAGUGUGAUAACGGUUGGUUCGGAGCAGAUUGCAGUGUACCCUCCGUUAUGUCAUCCAUUAGAGAGUGGCCUCUCUGGCUGCGACCUGCACAGGUUAAUGUUCCUGAGAAUAUGAACAGCAGAGGAAAUCUUGUCAAUCUAGAUGCUAUUGCGGAGAAGAAAAGGCCCCUUAUAUAUGUUUAUGACUUGCCCCCAGAGUUCAACAGUCUUCUUCUGGAGGGACGACAUUUUAAACUAGAAUGCGUAAACAGAAUCUAUGAUCCGAGAAAUGCUACAGUAUGGACAGACCAGCUGUAUGGUGCACAGAUGGCACUCUAUGAAAGUAUGUUAGCUAGCCCUCAUCGGACAUUAAAUGCAGAGGAAGCAGAUUUUUUCUUUGUUCCAGUUCUUGACUCAUGUAUUAUAACUCGUGCUGAUGAUGCUCCACACUUGAGCUUGCAGGAACACGUCCAUGGGGGGUUGAGAAGUUCUCUGACGCUUGAAUUCUAUAGAAAGGCUUACGAUCAUAUUAUCACACAGUAUCCUUAUUGGAACCGCUCAUCUGGAAAGGAUCACAUCUGGUUCUUCUCAUGGGAUGAGGGUGCUUGCUAUGCUCCUAAAGAGAUAUGGAACAGCAUUAUGUUGGUCCAUUGGGGUAAUACAAACUCAAAGCAUAACCAUUCAACAACAGCAUAUUGGGGUGAUAAUUGGGAUCCAAUUUCCUCGGAUAGAAGAGGUAACCACCCCUGUUUUGACCCAGAUAAAGAUCUCGUACUUCCUGCUUGGAAACAACCAGAUGAAGGUUCCCUAAAUGCUAAACAUUGGUCCAGACCUCGUGAGAAGCGGAAAACAUUCUUCUAUUUUAAUGGAAAUCUUGGACCGGCUUAUGAAAAUGGAAGACCAGAAGCUACGUAUAGUAUGGGCAUAAGGCAAAAUGUGGCUGAAGAAUUUGGAUCAACCCCUAACAAGGAAGGUAAGCUUGGCAAGCAGUAUGCAGAAGAUGUGAUAGUGACACCACUACGUGCUGUGAACUAUCAUGAGGAAUUGGCAAGUUCUGUCUUUUGUGGGGUUAUGCCUGGGGAUGGUUGGAGUGGACGAAUGGAAGAUAGUAUUUUGCAAGGAUGCAUUCCUGUGGUGAUUCAGGAUGGGAUAUACCUGCCAUAUGAGAAUUUUCUCAACUAUGAAAGUUUUGCCGUUAGGAUACGUGAAGAUGACGUACCCAAUCUAUUAAACAUUCUUCGGAGUUUUAACGAGACAGAAAUCGAAUUUAAACUGGGGAAUGUGAAGAAAAUCUGGCAGAGAUUUUUAUAUCGCGAUUCAGUUGUUCUUGAAGCUGAGAGGCAAAAGGCAGUACGUGGGAGUGUUGAGGACUGGGGUCUAAAGUUCUCGCAGCUCAUGGAAGAUGAUGUCCUUGCCACAUUCAUACAGGUGUUGCAUUACAAGUUGCAUAAUGACCCUUGGAGACGAGAACUUCUGCAGAAAAAGGAAUUUGGAUUGCCUAAUGAAUGCUUGAUUCGAACAGAGUGAGAAACUACUUUAUACUUGGACCUGAAACGGGAUUCAACACAUGGAGGGUUUUACUGUGGAUUGGAAACAGAUAAGUGUAUACAGCUGCAGUAAGGAAAAUUUUUUGGUCAGUAUACCAAUUUUUGAGACUACUUUUUGUGCAGGGACAGCUGAAGGCAAAAAUAUGUCUUCUAUUCAUGUAAAUAAGUUGGCUUCUCUAGGAGCUAUAUUUUGUACAAGAUGAAAAUUAGGAUGGAAAUUGCAGCUGAAGGAGCUAAGCUCGAUGAACAACUAUGGCUGAUAAGAGAUUGAAAUUCCGAGAACUCGGCUAAUUAGAGAAGAAGAGAGAUUUAAGGAGAGAUGUAGAAAGUUCAAUUGAUAGUAUUUAUAGACAAAGUAGCCCCCAACAACUACCUCUAACUAUCUAACUAAUAAUUGGAAUUUGCUACAGUGAUAGUAACCUACUGCUAAAGUAAUAACAGACUAAUGAAUAGUAGAGUGAUGUAACAGUAUGUCAUGACCCGAAUUAGGGUCUAGUUGCACGAAUCGAGGAAACCGAAGGAAGGCUAAAGACACCAAGGCAAUAACCAUCCAAAA